rnacentral:rRNA from 1 species
AGUAAAAGUCGUAACAAGGUUUCCGUAGGUGAACCUGCGGAAGGAUCAUUACUGUUUGCUUACGGCUGCCCCUCGGGACAGCCCGUAACGCUCACCCUUUGCCCUUUUCGAACCUGUUUGUUCCCCCUCGCCGGGCUCGCCCGGCGGGGGUCCAUUCAAAAACCUUGCAGUACAGCAGUACCUGUCUGAAAUAUAUCAAAUGUUAAAACUUUCAACAAUGGAUCUCUUGGUUCUGGCAUCGAUGAAGAACGCAGCGAAAUGCGAUAAGUAGUGUGAAUUGCAGAAUUCAGUGAAUCAUCGAAUCUUUGAACGCACAUUGCGCCCCUUGGUAUUCCAUGGGGCAUGCCUGUUCGAGCGUCAUUUGUACCUUCAAGCUCUGCUUGGUGUUGGGUGUUUUGUCUCGCCUCUGCGUGUAGACUCGCCUUAAAACAAUUGGCAGCCGGCGUAUUGAUUUCGGAGCGCAGUACAUCUCGCGCUUUGCACUCAUAACGACGACGUCCAAAAGUACAUUUUUACACUCUUGACCUCGGAUCAGGUAGGGAUACCCGCUGAACUUAAGCAUAUCAAUAAGCGGAGGA